UACGGGGGGGGGCAAGCGUUGUUCGGAAUUACUGGGCGUAAAGGGCGCGUAGGCGGUUUGCUAAGUUGGACGUGAAAACUCUGGGCUUAACCCAGAGCCUGCAUCCAAAACUGGCAAGCUAGAGUUUUGGAGGGGGAAGCGGAAUUCCUGGUGUAGCAGUGAAAUGCGUAGAUAUCAGGAGGAACACCGGUGGCGAAGGCGGCCUUCUGGACAGUGACUGACGCUGAGACGCGAAAGCGUGGGGAGCAAACAGG
rnacentral:rRNA from 1 species